UACGGGGGGGGCAAGCGUUGUUCGGAAUUACUGGGCGUAAAGGGCUCGUAGGCGGCCAACUAAGUCGGACGUGAAAUCCCCAGGCUUAACUUGGGAACUGCGUCCGAUACUGGAUGGCUUGAAUCCGGGAGAGGGAUGCGGAAUUCCAGGUGUAGCGGUGAAAUGCGUAGAUAUCUGGAGGAACACCGGUGGCGAAGGCGGCAUCCUGGACCGGUAUUGACGCUGAGACGCGAAAGCGUGGGGAGCAAACAGG
rnacentral:rRNA from 1 species